UUUUUUUUUUUGUUGGUUUUUUUUUUAAACUUUCAGAACACUUAUCUUUUCUUAAAAUCAGUUCAAUCAAGUUUUUUACCAAUUGUCUUUGGGCAAUAUAAACAUCUACUUUUACUUUUUCAGUUUAAAUUAAUGUUUGGAAUCUUCUGACCCUUUCAUUGCCUGUACUCCCUCUGGGAAUCAUAUACAUUAUUGAAAAAUAUUCACUCUGCUGGGGAUCAGGCCAGUUGCUCCAAAAGCCAUGUAGGCAUGUUACCAUACUCAUAUUUGAUAGCAAUAAAUUGCUGUCUUUUCAUAAACUUUUCUAAAAGCCAUGCUCUUUAAAGUAAUCUUUUUUUUUGUAAUUUUGCAUGACCCUGUCUUAUUAUAGAUAACAGAUCUAAAUAAUCCUUACAGGAAGAAUUUAUAUAUAUCUCAUUAGACUACUCUGAUUUGAAAGCUCCUUCUGCUACUUCAACCCUAAUUUUGAUAAAUGACUUCAAGUCUGUGGCCUGAAUUGUCCACCAAGCCCAAGAAAGAAAGUCUAUUGUACAUAUAUUACUUCAAGGCUCCUGUAGGGAUCAAGGCAUGCCAGCUGGUGUUGCUGAUCUUAACUCAUUCCAUAAGACCUAAAGAAAAGCCUGUCUCCCUUGGAAUGACAACCAUAAGCCUAAAUAAAUGGUAUUUAUGCCUCCACCUCUCCUUGCAGCUCCCAUUAAUAAGACAAGCCCUAAUGUUCUACUAGAUUAUUUAUUGGCUUAAAUUGAAUUUAAAUUUUUCCUUUGGCAUUUGCCAAAUCAGAUCUUCACGAUUACAUUCCUGUCAGCCAAUAUCUUUCCUUAGCUGUAACUAUACAUCAAAGUUUACUUGAAUAUUUGAAUUCAAGAUACCAGCCUCCAGGGUUCAGUAAAUACAUGAGAAAUUAAAAACUGUAUGUGGAAAAAUUUCUCAAAAAAUCAGACUCUUCAUAGGUUCAAAAUUAAUCUGUAUUAGAAAGAAAUAGCAAACAAAAGACAUAAUAUAAAUAUGUGCAAUUAAUUUACUAUGAAAAAAAAAGACUUCUCCAAUUUUAAUUGUAACACAUUAAGAAGAAAAUACUUUCUGUCAGAAUUAUCAGGAGCAUAUUCCUCACUGGAUUUAAUAUCAGCUGUAAUAUGCUUAAUUUUCCAUUUUUCUGAAGCGAUAAGAAAAUAUUACUAAUAUUUCUUAUAAUACUGUAAUAAAAGUAACAUGAGAGGGUGUUUUUUCCCUUGGAAAAGUUGUAACUGCUUUAACUGCUCCAGGGACAAAUAAUUUUUAAAAAAACAUUACUUCUAUUUCCUUAUCACAAGUUAUUUGUUGCUGUAACUGCAAAUCUUCUGUAUAUGUAUUUUCCACAGCCUCUCUGCAAAAGAGGAUUUAUGAAUGUGCUCAGUAUCAUAGCAGCUCAGAGCUAUUGAGGCCAUUCCUGACACCCAGUGCAGUGCUGCAGGAGCACCAUUCCAAGAUAAAGCCAAGUGAAAGAGGAGCCAGGGGAGUUAUGUAACUAGGAAUACAGUGCAAGCAAGACCAAAGGACAAUGCUGUGUCCUCAAAAGACCUAGGGACUCAAAUGACACAUUAAUGAACAGAAAGAAAAUAAUGAAAUCAAGAAUAAGAACAGAGCAGAAAAAAAACCUCAAUGUACACAGAUAGAGAAAGUGAAGGUGUGUAAGAAAGAAAGAAAAGAAGCUCAGAUCUAACUCCCAUCUAGGAAUAAAAGGUAGAAGAUAGAUGGAUGUAGAAGGAAGGGGAAAUAAUAAAGAAAAUUAAUAACAAUGCAGUUGUGCAGAAAUGUCUCCUUUUCCCUGUGCAAACUUGCUCCCGUGAAAAGCUAGACUUGAAACAGGUUGUAUCAAUAGAGCCAGCAUGAAAUAUACUGAGGGAUGAUACUGCUGCCAGCAUAUAGGUUUCUUAAAAAUGACUGAUAGCAUGGCAUAAGACAGUUAAAGAUAAUUCAGAUAAAUAUCAUACUAUAAUUCUAAAAGACUUAAUUAUAAUGAAUUGCUAUAAAGAACACUGGAGAAGUUCUUCACAGAAAAGAACAGCAUAGAAAUAAUCCCUUGGCAAAGUCAACAGUGAAGGGUGAAUUCAGAGCUCUGAAUAGUCAAAGUGAUGAUGAGAUCACAUACAAAAAGCUGAGAAAAAAAUGACGGAAAAGCAGUCAGGAGAAAGGUAGUAACCACCACUCUUAAUUCGGACUACCACAAAAAGUAUUAGAAGAUUAGAAAAGUGUGUACCCAGAUGCAUGGUUGAGGGAAAGACUAUACUUACUUGCAAAGAAAAUGGGAAAGGAAAAAUUUGGUGUCAUAAGCUUAAAGUCACACAGAUUGUUUGGCUACAAUAUGGAAAUCUCUUGCGGGAAGCUUUAUGGAAAAUGUGUUUGAAAGUGUUGAAGCUAAUGGUAUGUUUCCCCAAGUACAGAAAAGAUGGUGAAAAGGCAAAAACCUUGCUGACAGAAUGCAAAGACUUUCUUACUGAUACCAAGAGAAAUUCUAGGUGGAUGAUGUGAAAUCAUAUCUCACCACUGGAUGAGAUCAUCCAGUGAUCUGAGUGGUAAGAUGGUAGAAAGCACUGUCCGUGUAGGGGGAACAUAGAGAAAGUGUGUUGGAACAGUAUGUGCUAUACUGGAAUAUAAUAAAGCAAGAAUACAUAAGCCAAAAGA
rnacentral:lncRNA from 1 species